GAAUCAAGGACAUGGACGCGAGUCACUCGAUUUUCACAGAUUUUAUUAGAAAUGCUAUUUCAACCUUGAAUCAUGACCUUCCAAGGAAGAUGAAUACUUUUGUCUCCUUCCUCCUCCUUUCUCCUUCUGCCAAUUGGAACGUGGAUAUAGUGGUGAUUACCAUGGAUGAAAGCAAGAGCUAAGGAUGGCAGAGCAAUAAGAUAGAGGAAGUCUUGUUCCUGACACUGUCGAGCCUUCAUAUCAGCCCUGGGAUUCUUCAAUCUAGUUUGUUACAUCAGAGAGAGGUAAAGUUCCACCAUGUUUAAAUAAGUUUUAUUUUGCCUUUAGUCCAACAACUGAAUCUAAACUCUAAUUUUGAUUGGUCCAUCAAGUCUUCUUCAGUGAUAUCAUUUUGUAUUCUGCCAUUCCUAAAGUAGUGGCAACGAGAUAGGAUGAAUCCCCUUCUUUGGAAACAAAUAAUUUGAAUAAUUUCAAGGAAUAUUUUUGAUCAGUUGGUUUAAUUUAAAUAACUAUUUAUUAUGAAGUUGGGGAUAAACCUAUGAUCAACAAAAAUAUUAUUUUAUCAGCAGAGACAAUCAACUAGUUUGAAUGAGAACCAACUAUUGUUACACUAGGUCACAAGGGGUACAGGUUACUUCAUGUUUAUAAAAGGCUCUGAGCGUCAAAUACAUAAAAACACAAGGUAUCUUAAUGCAUGUACUUUGUGACAAAGGUUGUAAAAUCAAAGAUGACUAUAGCAAUUAUGCAGAAAAAAUUCAUCUAGAAACAAAGGAAAAGCAUAUAUGUUAGAGGAAAUAGAAGUGUGUCUACAAAUUACCUCUACCUAUCUCAAAGUCACAUAUUAUUAUGUGGAAGCAUUACAGACUCAAACUUCAUGGAAUAGGGUAUUUGAAUACAGAACAUCUUAUUAAACAUCAGUUUGCAAGAAUAACAGACUUUUGAAAAAAUAAUGUUUAUGUUUAUUGCCCUAAUUCUGGGACAUGUAUCAAUCUAGAGAGAGAGAGAGAGAGAGAAAAAAAAAAAAGGAGCUUUCCCAGUAGAAACUGCAAGUUUUCCAAAGGACAAUAUUUCAAAAGAUGCCAUCAAAUCUAGAGGUUACAUUAUUAAUAGGUUGAUUUUAAAGUAUUUCUUCUUACAUAACAAUACAAUUUCAUCCUCAAUAUACCUGGUUCCAGCGAGGAAAAUAAAGUUCUUUGAGGAACCA
rnacentral:lncRNA from 1 species